AGCCUCCGUUUAUGUUGUGAUCAGCUUUGAUCAGCUCUUCAACUUGAGAGUUUGAUCCUGGCUCAGAGCGAACGCUGGCGGCAGGCUUAACACAUGCAAGUCGAGCGGGCCCUUCGGGGUCAGCGGCAGACGGGUGAGUAACGCGUGGGAACGUGCCCUUCGGUUCGGAAUAACUCAGGGAAACUUGAGCUAAUACCGGAUACGCCCUUAUGGGGAAAGGUUUACUGCCGAAGGAUCGGCCCGCGUCUGAUUAGCUAGUUGGUGAGGUUAUGGCUCACCAAGGCGACGAUCAGUAGCUGGUCUGAGAGGAUGAUCAGCCACACUGGGACUGAGACACGGCCCAGACUCCUACGGGAGGCAGCAGUGGGGAAUAUUGGACAAUGGGGGCAACCCU
rnacentral:rRNA from 1 species